AACGGCCGUACCAUGCUGAAUAUACCGGUUCUCGUUAGAUCACCGAAGUCAAGCAUCACUGGGCGCGGUCAGUACUUGGGUGGGUGACCACCUGGGAACACCGCGUGCCGU
rnacentral:rRNA from 1 species